GUGCCAGCAGCCGCGGUAAUACCGGCAGCUCGAGUGAUGGCUACUCUUAUUGGGCCUAAAGCGUCCGUAGCUGGCCGCGCAAGUCUCCCGGGAAAUCCACCCGCCCAACGAGUGGGCGUCCGACGGAAACUGCACAGCUUGGGACCGGAAGGCUCGAAGGGUACGUUCGGGGUAGGAGUGAAAUCCCAUAAUCCCGCACGGACCACCGAUGGCGAAAGCACUUCGAGAAAACGGAUCCGACAGUGAGGGACGAAAGCUGGGAUCUCGAACCGGAUUAGAUACCCCUGUAGUCC
rnacentral:rRNA from 1 species